rnacentral:rRNA from 14 species
CCUUAGUACGAGAGGACCGGGUCGGACGAACCGCUGGUGGACCUGUUGUCCCGCUCGGGGCACCGCAGGGUAGCUAUGUUCGGAACGGAUAAGCGCUGAAAGCAUCUAAGCACGAAACUCACCUCAAGAUGAGAUAACUUUUAAGGGUCGUGGAAGACGACCACGUUGAUAGGCCAGGUGUGUAAGUGCAGCAAUGUAUUGAGCUUACUGGUACUAAUCGUUCGAUUGGCUUGA